rnacentral:miRNA from 1 species
UGCCUUCUUUCCUUGUGUCGCCGAC